UUUCCUCCUCCCCUUUUUUCCCUCCCCUUUCCCUCUCUUCGGAGAGUAUGCCUGUUUGAGGGUCAGCCUAAAAAAAAUCGACAUAGUUGCUGUUACGCGGUAACAUUCGUCGGAAAUUGGGUCAUCUUAAACCUUUGGGUUUAAGCGGCUUAAAAUUUUCUUUACGAUUCCAAGAACGUUUCUAAGAUUUUAUUUUCUUAUACGUUUAAGGUAUCGAUCUUUAUUAGACGUGGCCGUUGCAUCGGAUCUCGUCCAUAAAUAUUUCGUUAACUGACCUCAGACAGGUAAGAACACCCGCUGA
rnacentral:misc_RNA from 1 species